UGGUAAGAGACUGAGGGUGAGUGGUC
rnacentral:piRNA from 1 species